rnacentral:rRNA from 1 species
GCUUACCAACCCGAUGCAAACUGCGAAUACCGGAGAAUGUUAUCACGGGAGACACACGGCGGGUGCUAACGUCCGUCGUGAAGAGGGAAACAACCCAGACCGCCAGCUAAGGUCCCAAAGUCAUGGUUAAGUGGGAAACGAUGUGGGAAGGCCCAGACAGCCAGGAUGUUGGCUUAGAAGCAGCCAUCAUUUAAAGAAAGCGUAAUAGCUCACUGGUCGAGUCGGCCUGCGCGGAAGAUGUAACGGGGCUAAACCAUGCACCGAAGCUGCGGCAGCGAACGUAUCACCCAAGACAACUUUACGGAGUUGACGAUUGACGGAGCGAAGCGACGUCAAAGCGUUCAUUAAAGUCGAGUUGGCUUAGGGAUACGUUCGUUGGGUAGGGGAGCGUUCUGUAAGCCUGUGAAGGUGUGUCGUGAGGCAUGCUGGAGGUAUCAGAAGUGCGAAUGCUGACAUAAGUAACGAUAAAGCGGGUGAAAAGCCCGCUCGCCGGAAGACCAAGGGUUCCUGUCCAACGUUAAUCGGGGCAGGGUGAGUCGACCCCUAAGGCGAGGCCGAAAGGCGUAGUCGAUGGGAAACGGGUUAAUAUUCCCGUACUUGGUGUUACUGCGAAGGGGGGACGGAGAAGGCUAUGUUGGCCGGGCGACGGUUGUCCCGGUUUAAGCGUGUAGGUGUGUGUUCCAGGUAAAUCCGGUUCACUUUAACACUGAGGCGUGAUGACGAGGCACUACGGUGCUGAAGCAACAAAUGCCCUGCUUCCAGGAAAAGCCUCUAAGCAUCAGGUAACAUCAAAUCGUACCCCAAACCGACACAGGUGGU